GCGGGCGCAAGCAGUCGGCGCGGGCUCUUCCCUCCCUCUUCCCGGGCCGCCGCCGCCUUUGUGGAUGUGGUCUGCAGGGAUUCCCUGGCGGCGAGAGCGUGAGGCUUUCUCUAUCCAGAGUUCCCCAGGAGAAAGGCACAUGCCUUCCGUAGUCCCGCUUCAGGUUCUCUAGGCUCAGCAUAAUUUCCAUUUAAACAGAAUCAGGGCCACCGAAGCUUUUGCGUAGGGAGUGUUGGAGAAGGUUGUGGAGAGGAUGUGACCACGGAUAAUCCCCAGGCAGAGAAGCUCCCUUCCCUUUUCCCUUGUCCUUGAAAUGUAUCUUCUGACCCUGUUCCUGUACCGGCAGCCACUUGAAGGACAUUGCCUUGACAGCGUAAUGUGAUACUGCAAGCAUCAGAACCGUUUUGUAGUUGAAAUUCCCCUAAGGCCUCUGCAUAAACUCAAGAUUCUAGCAGGUGUUCAAGAAAACCCCAAUCCAAUCAUGGUGAACUGAGAGUAAACAGGGGAAAGAAGAAUUGGAAUCUGAUUGUAACCAAGAAAGUCCACCUGUGGUGGGGUGACCACGUCUCCUGCUCCAAGCAAGUCUUACAACCAAAGAUAUUUAUUAUAAAAUGAAACUAAAUCUGUCUAUGGUAAAAGCACUUAAUAUUGCUGUUUAAAAACUAUCCUAACCUAGAUUUAAUGCACUAUUUAUCAAGCAUUUGUGUCAACAUUGUAUCAAAUAGAAAAGAAAUGCUAUCUAUCCUUGGUGUAGUUGUCUUCAAGGCAAAUACAAUCUCAAAUUUAUACUGCAAACAACAUGAAACAGAUUAAAUUCAAAAUGAUUAGCAUGGACUUAAGGAACUAGAUAUUUAGCCAUAGAACUUGAAUUUUAAAAAUAUAUAUAGAGAGAGAAAUCUCAAUUCUAGGAGAGAGGUAGCAUCUGAUAAAUAUAGUUUAUUGAAUUGUUUUACAAACAGGACAAGACAUAAUAAGUUUUGUGGCAUUUAUAUAAAAACGUGUUGAGGGAAAGACUCGCUAUUUUUAGGAAGAGUAUGGAUAUUUGACAGAAAAGGACAGAUUCUGGGGGAAAAAAAAAGGAGCUGGAGAAUGGAGUUACGCCAGGAUCCAUGAAACCGGGGACACAGAUCUAAGUUUGCUCAAAGUAAAAGAAACAGUUAACAACUGUAGCCUAUGUAGCAAAGGAAAUAAAAAGGCCAAGAUAUUUAUCAACAUCAUGGGGAUUGGGCAUCGUGGCAUUUAUUAGAUGAAGAAUGUUAGAAAUCCCCAUUACUGAGUGAAACAAAGGGCAAUUCCAGAACAGGUGAAUUGAAAGCUACCCUAGGAAGCUGUAAAUAUCCCAAACAAGGGAAACAAUAGGGAAAAGUGCUUGCUGCAGUCUAUGCCUCUUCCACUUAUCUUUUGGAACAUCUCUAUGUGCCAACCUUUCUGCCCUCGAAGACUUUAAAAUCUAGCAGAGGGGACUGAAGCAUCCACAGAAGAUAAGUCCAAGAAAAUGUGACUACUGCCACAAUAGUGGCAUGAUGCGGAUGCUUUUGGAGCCCAGAGGAAGGGUGCUAAGACUGGGCUGGUGUACCAAGGAAAGCAUUAAGGAAAGAUGGCACCAGUUUGAAGAAUAAGUAGGACUCUGCCAGGAAAAAAAAAAGGACUCCAGCUGAGGAAGCCCCAGGAUUUUGAGGGAUGGAGGAUGGAGGUGAAAAAGCAUGGGACGUCUUGGGGCAGUAUGAAUUGGUGUGACAGUAGAGCAGAAUGAGAGGCCCAUCAGCAGAAGACAAAGCUAGAAGUAGGCACAAAGAAUUGUACCUGCUGCAUUAAGGAAUGGGGAAUGUCCCACCAUCAAGGGCCAUGUUAAAUAAAUUAGGCGACAACUUCCUAGGGAAUUCUGUAUUCUCAAUCAUGCUCUCAAUAUUUGAAAAUACAGGGAAGCACAAUUCAGUAAAUUGAGAAAAUGAAUUAUAGGAGAGGGUAGACAACACAGCCCCAAUUUUGCUUCAAAUAAACAUAGCUGUAUAACAGUGUAACUAAAAAACAAACAAACAAACAAAAAGCCAAAAAAACCCACCUAUUUAGUAUUAGCAUCUUCCCCUAAUCCUGCUCCACAAAAACCGGCUUCUAAAGGCCUAUGGAAGAGGAUUCUCCCAGGUUGGGAGAAGAUGGAGGUUGGUUCCUAGAAUAAGAAAGGAGAAAGCAGCUGGAUGUAGGAGGAAAUUGAAGUUUCCUCAGAGUCAGAAAAGCAGGAGAGGACUGGAGUGGGAAGGACGGGCGGGUAGAGAAGAGUCCCUUUCUUGGCACUUUGUCCAGGCAGUGGGUAGCAAGAUAGGAUCCUGUCAGUGGCAGGCAGUCUCCCUGGGCCAGCAUUGCCUAAGCAGGUGAGACAAGUAUAUCUGAACAUCACUGCUCAAUGAGGAGCCAUGACAAAAAAGACAAUAACCCACAGUCCAGUUCCCCGGCUCCUCCCAAGUCUCAGUUUCCUGGAUGAUUCUAUGGAGUAGGGAGGAAAUCUUAGCGAUACCCUCAGAUUAAUGUUCCUUGCAGCUCCAACAUGUGGGGACACGGGCCAUAUUAUAUUCAACUCAAAAUAUGAUUGAAGAUCAGCUAUGGACUAAAGGAAAAGUGGUGAGCAAAACCAAGCAGAGACCCUGCCCUUGUGAAGCAAAUAGUAUAUUGCAGGAGACAGAUAUUAAUUAGUCAAAUAAUCACAGAAACAAAUGUUAAAUUGUGUGGGUAACAAGCACUAACAAGGACACAUAGGCAAUGCUAGGAAAGUCCAUAAUAAGAGAAUUUUACCUUGUCUGGGGUAAGGAGGAGUGGGUCAAGGAAGGUAUUCCUGAGGAAGUAAAGCAAUGAAAUCUGAAAGAUGAGUGGGAAUGAAGAAGGCAGAGAGAGGAGAGAAGAGUAAGCCAGGCAGAGGAAACAGCAUGACACUGUGUGCAAAGGUGAGAAGAAGCAAAUCAGGGAAGAGGCACUGAAAGAUGGUCAGUGUCAGGGCGGCUGGGUGGCCAAGUCAAUUAAGUGUCUGCCUUAGGCUCAGGUCAUGAUCCCAGAGUUCUGGGAUCAAGCUCCACGUUGGACUCCCCGCUGUGUGGGAGAUCUGCCUCUCCCUCUCCCACUCCCCCUGUCUGUGUUCCCUCUCUCACUAUCUCUCUGUCACAUAGAUAAAUAAAAUCUUAAAAAAAAAAAAAAAAAAAGGUCAGUGUUAUUGGCAUCCAACAAGCAAGGGGAGUGGGGUCAUGGCUCCAGUUCCCACACACUACACCUGGUAACUAAAAUUCUUACCUGCUAAAAAUACAUUUCUCAAAGUGGUUAUCUCUGGCUAAUUUUCUUUGUAUUUUCUAUCUUCCAAAAAUUUUUAUGUUUCUAUGUAUUUUUAUAAUGGAGGGGGGAAUCAAUAGGUUAUUAAAAAUAAAGAAAUAUAAACCUCAUCUCCACAAAUAAGACAGAUCACAUGAGAGUAUUUUCAACAAAGACUUCAAAAGGGAAGAAAGUUAAAAUGUAAACAAAAUUAAUAAGUGAGCAGACUGAAUUUAAUUACUUCCCAAUGAAAAUAUGAAACGAGUGAAAACAUUCCGUUUUCUUGCCUGCAGAAAUAGUGGUUUUGUACAACAUAAACAAAAUGCAUGUAGUAGGAGACAGUUGAUUAAGCAGAGAAGCAGCAGUUUUCCUUUUGUUCACUUUAAACACUCAUUUAAAAUUCGUUGGUCCUAAGGACUCAGAGGACUCUUAGUUCUGUUAAGAAAAAUUAUCCAAAACCUGGAAAUAAGUGAAGGGCUUACUGUUUGCUCUUUCAAUGUCCUGCUAGGAUUUGUUUAGCAUGUGCUCCUGGGGAACCUCUGAUUCUCUAGGAAUAGUCACCUUCUUUGACCUGUUAUUUUUAAAUUAUUUAUUUAAAUAUUUAAUUAUUUAAAAUGACUUACCAGUUAUUUAAAAUAUAUUUAUAUUAUUUUUAGUAUACAGGUAUUGUACAUCUCUGUAAGGGUAGAUCUUAAUAUGUGGAAAACUGAUAGUAAUAUAAAUGAGUUUUGUCCCAUAGAGGUGUGGAUGAUUUUUAUCCCAUAGAAAAGAUAAAACUUUCUUGUGUUGUAGGAUAUUAACCAAUUUCCUAUCUAUGUUAGCAAUCUUGUUCAAGCAUUCUUUCAGCCACUGUAAAGACUUGGCACUCCCUAAUUCUCUUUGAAUGAGGCUUACCAUCUUGUUGAUUCCCUCUUUGAAGGGAAGAGUGAAAUACAUCUUUAGACACGUGAUCCCUUUUUAAAAUAUUUUUAAACUCCUCAAAAAUAAUACUCUAAGAAUUUAACCUUCUUAGUUUUGUAAUGAAGAUAUUGAUCACCAGAAAGAUGAAGUGUCUUAUUCAAAGUCUUCAUACUCACUGGAGAGAGAGAUCAGACAAGGACGUAGGAAUAAGAAAUGUAGGUUGGUACAGAGGUAAAAACUAAGAUGAGCAAGGUCAGGGGAUCUAAUGCAUAAUAAUGUGGUUCUAGUUUAUAAUGCUGUAUUGUCUAACUGAAAUUUGUUAAGAGAGAGGAACUCAAAUGUUCCCAACAAAAAAUAAAUGAAUCCAUAUAAGUAAAUUUAUGAGAUGAUGGAUGUGUUAAUUAACUCAAUGGAAGAGGAAUACUUUCACUAUGUGUAU